UACGUAGGGUGCAGGCGUUAAUCGGAAUUACUGGGCGUAAAGCGUGCGCAGGCGGUUUGCUAAGACAGGUGUGAAAUCCCCGGGCUUAACCUGGGAACUGCGCUUGUAACUGGCAAGCUUGAGUGUGGCAGAGGGGGGUGGAAUUCCACGUGUAGCAGUGAAAUGCGUAGAGAUGUGGAGGAACACCGAUGGCGAAGGCAGCCCCCUGGGCUAACACUGACGCUCAUGCACGAAAGCGUGGGGAGCAAACAGG
rnacentral:rRNA from 1 species